rnacentral:rRNA from 1 species
UUCAAUGGAGAGUUUGAUCCUGGCUCAGGACGAACGCUGGCGGCGUGCCUAACACAUGCAAGUCGAACGGGGUUUACAGAGA